UUCAGGGGAUAAAUUACUUUCAUAAAAUCAGAUUUUUGAACUGUACCUCUCCGUUUUACAAAUGAUGUGGGGACUGUGAAUGUCGGACAAGAAUGGUUGUAACGAAAGCGUCAGUUCAGUGGAAUACUGGAUGACUUAAAGCGUCAGAAACACUAGCACGUGUCGUCACAUCCGGAUCCAACAUCCACAUGAACAGAUCUGUCAGCUGAAGGAGCAGAUCACCUGGUGGAAGUUUCCCUUUCAGGAGCUCUUCAUAGACAACAUGCGUGCUUAACAAGCCCUACAAGUACCAAUAUCAGGUUUUAAUCUAACCUUCUGCAUAUUGCAUCAGGACUGAGACUUCAUCACCCUCUAACACUAUUCCGUACACGUCUAACAUCCGGGAAUGUUCCUCACCAUGAUAAAAGGAUAAUACGAGUGUCUAGAAAACCUGCAGAUUUUGAAGUGCGUCAUUUUUAAAGGAAUUUUUACAAAUAAAAGGGGGAAUACUGUAAACCAACAUUUAUUCGCGAGCGAGGAAUAUUCGUGGGUUUCGUGAUAUAUUUCCAUUCGCAAAAAAUAAUCACGAACCGCUUUUUUUUUCUUUGUUUAUGUUGAGAAUGUUUCUUAAGUCGCCAAAAUUAAGUCGCGGAUUGAUUACAAACGGACGAAUCGCGAAUAAAAGUUGACAUGAAUAUAAUAGUUGGUUCACGGUAUCACAGCUGAUGACAACGAAGGAGACACUGAAGUAAAACUGUGCUACUAGUGUAAUGAGUGAAAAAGUGAACUUACCUUUAUUUAUUAUUAAAUAUAAAUUGAGUUAAGGUCAAGAUCUAGUAAAUGAAAGGUGCCUACAGAUUUAUCAAACUUGAGAAAUAAAUUCCUUUAUUGAUGCUUUACAACUUUAGCUUGGUCAAAUAAGGUGUUUCGGGGCAUAAUUUGUAGGUAAACAAGAUGAAAAACUGUAUUUUAAACUGUCAUUUUCAAUGAAAAAUUAAGAAAACCAGUCAUGAAUAUGGGAGUUUUUUUCGUAUUCGGCAAAAGAAAUGUAUCCAGAUUGCCUACAGUCUCUCAGAAAACGGUAAUUAGUAUGUUCGUGGCCUCUUCUAUAAAUCAAUAUCAAAUUUAAUAUAGGUAUCCGGUUUACUUUUCAUAUGAUUUCAAAUUGAAUGCCAUGAAAACACCCCAUUUUCUACAUAAUUCUGCUAAAGCUGUAAAGUACGGGAAAAAGAAAGUUGAAAUUGAUUAUGACGUCAUAAUGGAUCUAGCACAAAAAAAUUAGUCUGAAG